AGAGUUUGAUCAUGGCUCAGAAUGAACGCUGGCGGCGUGCUUUACACAUGCAAGUUGAGCGAGGCCGGUAGCAAUACCGAGUCGAGCGGCGAACGGGUGAGUAACGCGUGGAUGACCUGCCCUCGAGUGGGGAAUAACCCGGGGAAACUCGGGCUAAUACCGCAUAAGACCGAGAGGUGAAAGCGGGGUCGCAAGAUCUCGUGCUCGAGGAGGGGUCCGCGUUCGAUUAGCUAGUUGGUAGGGUAAUGGCCUACCAAGGCGACGAUCGAUAGCCGGCCUGAGAGGGUGAUCGGCCACACUGGAACUGAGACACGGUCCAGACUCCUACGGGAGGCAGC
rnacentral:rRNA from 1 species